rnacentral:rRNA from 1 species
UCAGAUUGAACGCUGGCGGUAGGCUUAACACAUGCAAGUCNAGCGCGAAAGUUCCUUCNGGGAUGAGUAGAGCGGCGGACGGGUGAGUAACGCGUAGGAAUCUGCCUGGUAGUGGGGGAUAACUCGGGGAAACUCNAGCUAAUACCGCAUACGCCCCAUGGGGGAAAGCGGGGGACCUUCGGGCCUCGUGCUAUCAGAUGAGCCUGCGUCGGAUUAGCUUGUUGGUGAGGUAAUGGCUCACCAAGGCCAACGAUCCGUAGCUGGUCUGAGAGGAUGAUCAGCCACACUGGGACUGAGACACGGCCCAGACUNCUACGGGAGGCAGCAGUGGGGAAUAUUGGACAAUGGGGGCAACCCUGAUCCAGCCCAUACCGCGUGUGUGAAGAAGGCCUUCGGGUUGUAAAGCACUUUCAGUAGGGAGGAAAAGGUUUCGGUUAAUAACCGGGAUCCCUGACGUUACCUACAGAAGAAGCACCGGCCAAACUCCGUGCCAGCAGCCGCGGUAAUACGGAGGGUGCAAGCGUUAAUCGGAAUUACUGGGCGUAAAGCGCGCGUAGGCGGCUUGGUAAGCUGGAUGUGAAAG